AGAAUGAGUUGGAGACUCAGCGGAGGGCCACAGAGUUUGCUCUUCGUAAGCGUAACCACCACGAGGAGCAGGCCCGAGAUGAGCUGGAGUGGCAGAUAAAAACAACUGAAGAUGAAAUGACAGAGAUGGAGAGCGACAUCCACGGACUGGAUACAGAUCUGCAGGCGAAGACGGCCGCCCUGAAACUGGCUCACACCAGACUGGAGAACAGGACCAACAGACCGGGCAUGGACCUGUGCAGAGAUGAGGUUCAACACGGCCUCGUUACUGAAGUCAAUCAGCUGGAGGCCACGAUCCUGGCUCUGAAACAGAAGCUGUCUGAGGCUCA